GAUGAACGCUGGCGGCGUGCCUAAUACAUGCCAGUCGAGCGAACGGACGAGAAGCUUGCUUCUCUGAUGUUAGCGGUGGACGGGUGAGUAACACGUGGAUAACCUACCUAUAAGACUGGGAUAACUUCGGGAAACCGUAGCUAAUACCGGAUAAUAUUUUGAACCGCAUGGUUCAAAAGUGAAAGACGGUCUUGCUGUCACUUAUAGAUGGAUCCGCGCUGCAUUAGCUAGUUGGUAAGGUAACGGCUUACCAAGGCAACGAUGCAUAGCCGACCUGAGAGGGUGAUCGGCCACACUGGAACUGAGACACGGUCCAGACUCCUACGGGAGGCAGCAGUAGGGAAUCUUCCGCAAUGGGCGAAAGCCUGACGGAGCAACGCCGCGUGAGUGAUGAAGGUCUUCGGAUCGUAAAACUCUGUUAUUAGGGAAGAACAUAUGUGUAAGUAACUGUGCACAUCUUGACGGUACCUAAUCAGAAAGCCACGGCUAACUACGUG
rnacentral:rRNA from 1 species